GCUACACAAACUGACAAUAAACAGACUAAUAGGAGAAAAAGCAUACAAAUUUAUUAACACACAAGUGUCUGCAGGAGUCCUGCAAAUAUGGGAUUCAAAGAAAGGCCACUUGGUUGUGGCUAAACUAUCUUCUUCAUAGGGGAGAAGAAAAUGAGGGGAAUAUAGGCAAUUUUGAAGGGUAGUGAACAAUUCUGAGUGAUUGAAUGAGCUUAAAGACCAUGCAAUGGCCUGGGACAAAGUUUCUCCAAGCUCUGGGAAAGACGGCAAGAAGCAGAGAAGCUCAGGCCAGAGAAGAAAUGGAAAUGCAGCACCCCUCAGCUCCACUUACAGUGAGCAGCAAGAUCAAAAGUUUAUCCUCAAGAAGUGUCAGCCACUUCUAUCUGCAAAAGUCUAAGCCUGGGUGGAGAAGAACUAUAAAUACUUCUGAAGGCCUCCCACAAAUUGCUGGAGAAUGCACAGGAAAAUCAAGAUAAAGAAACUGAGGCUCAGUGUCCACAUUCAAUAACUUGCCCAUGGCUACAGAGCUAAUUAAUCCUGAACUUGAACAAAGGAUUGUCAGACUUCACUGUUGGCUCCUAACUAAGAUGCAUUCUCAAGUCCGUGGCAAACUCUCUGAUGUUGCUUUGGGUUUUGUUUAUUUUGUUUUCUUUUUUGUUAUAUCGAACCAUCCAUUAAAACAGAACAUUUUUUUCUUCCCACUCCCUAUCAAAAAAUGGUAUACUGCCUUCAUAAGCUUGGUAGCUACUAUUUAUGUCAUGAUUGUUUCUGAUUUUUGAAUUGAAAUGUUUUGUAGAGAAAAGAUGUUACCUCCACUGCAUUUGAUUUUGUAGCUGAAUAGAGCCACUUUCAUUCAGAGCUUCAUUCAGAGCAGACAAAAAUCAACGUCUGCCUGCCUAAAACAUAAAAUACCAUGCUCCACCAGCAAAAAACAAACAAACAAACAAAAAAAAACAAAAAAAGCAUCUUGGGUUUCAUAUUAAUAGUGUGAACAGUGGAGGAUAGCAAAGCCAAAGCAAGACCAAACUACAGAAAAGAAGCAACAAAAGCAGGAACAGUGCUGAGCCUCUUGUAAUUGCUGCCUUGGGUUUCCUUUUGCCGCUCUCUUCUUUGUGGGGAAGAAGAAAGUGGUGUCUGAUUUAUAGGAUUUUUUGUCCAGCUCCCAGAUAUUCACUCUUAAAAACCUAGGGAUGUAGCUAAAAAUGGAUUCUGAAGGACUUGGAAAGGACAAGUUAUUUUCCACAUCUAAACCUCAUCCAAUUGUAUUGGUGCAAUUUUGCUUGAAAAUGCCCCCAGGACACCAGUUUCAGGCCUGCCAGGUGGCCUAAGUUCAUCCCUUCCUCCAAUAUCCCUGAGACUACCUGAGACCCAGGACAAGCACUGGAACCAUCAUUUUGCAGGGACAGAUGGCAGCGAACACUGUAAGCAGGGCACAGAGUUUCUAGGCAACCCCCAUCUCCUUUCCCAGCCCUGAGACCACGAGGCACCUUCCCUUGGGCUGACUCAGAGCCCUGAGUGUGGGCUGUGCUGGGUCCCAGUCUCUCAGCUCCCCGACCGUGGCACAAACCUGCUCUCCCGCUUCCCUUUAUUCUUAUUGGAGGAUUUUAUUUUCCUGCUUACCUUGCCAGAUGCCAAAAACAAAACAAAGCAGCACUUCUUAUUUUCUUCACACCAUUGACCCUGGAGAAAUCCCUUGCCCACAGCCACCAUCUGGGAGAGCCAUUUCUUUCUUCUAACCUGUAAACAUUUUCACAAGGCCUCCAAAGGCAAGCAUUUGGCACACCAUCGUGACUGCUUUCCUGCGAACAUUGAGAUUUCAAAUUUUAAUUGCAGCUUCUUGAUUAGGCAUCAAAAGUCCAUAUUUGAGCAUUUGAACUGGCAAUUCUAAAAUGCAAAUCUGUCCAUUUCAAGUCCUUAUUUACGAUGUCUCAAAUACUGAAUUUGUUAUUACUCAUUUUGAAAAUUUGCUUGUGCUCUGCAUAGAGAAAAUAAUUUGAUGGUUAGUACUAUUUAUCCCUGGUCUUCUUCUUUUUUUCCUUUUUAUUUUUUUGAGACAGGGUCUCGCUCUGUUACCCAGGCUGGAGUGCAGCCCCCCUCAGCCUCCGGAGUGGCUGGGACUACAGGUUUGUGCCACCAUGCCCAGCUAAUUUUUUGUGUGUAUUUUGUAGAGACCAACUUCACCAUGUUGCCCAGGGCUGGUCUCGAAUUCCUCAGGUUAUCCGCCCACCUUCUGAAAGUGUUUGGAUUACAGGUGUGAGGCACUGCACUUGACCUAUUCCUAAUCUACUACUCACCAUUUUCAGAUACCUGUAGUGCUAUGCAUGUGACUCUCCAAAAUUCAUAUAUUGAACCCCUAACCCCCAACGUGAUAGUAUUUUGAGGCAGCGCCUUUAGGAGAUGCUGGGGAUUGAAUGUUUAUAUCCCCUCCAAAAUUUAGUUAAAAUGUAAUCCCCAAUGCAACAGUACUGAGAAGUGGGGCCUUUGAGAGGUGCUAUGCCCUGAGAGCCCCACUCUCAUGGAUGGGAUCAGUGCCUUAUGGAAGGACUGAAGGGACGGGACCUAGCUAAAUGCUUUUGCCCUUCUGCCUACCACCAUGUGAAGACACAAUAUUGACCCUUUCUGCCUUGUGAGGACGUGGUGAUAAGGCGCCAUCUUGGAAGAAGAAAGCAGCUUUCUCCAUACAAACGAACCCACCGGAGCCUUGAUCUUGGACUUUCCAGCCUCCAGAACUAUGAGAAAUAAAUUUCUAUUAUUUAUGAAUUCCCCAUGCAGUGGUAUUUUGUUAUAGCAGUACAAACGGGCUGAGACAGGAGGUAGUUAGGUUCAGAUGAAGGCCUGAGGGUAGGGCCCUAAUGAUGGGAUCCAUGCCCAUACAAGAAGAGAUACAAGAGCAAUCUUGUGCUCUCCCUCUGCCAUGUGAAGACAUAACAAGAAAGCAGCCAUCUGCAAACCAGGAAGUGAGCCCUCAUUGCACCCCAAAUCUGCUGGCACCUUGAUCUUGGCAUCCUGGGCUCCAGAAUUGUGAGAAAUAAAUGUUUGUUGUUUAAGCCACUCAGCCUAUGGUAAUUUGUUGUAGCAGCCUGAGCUAAGACAUAUAGAUAGAUAAUCU
rnacentral:lncRNA from 1 species